UACAGAGGUCUCGAGCGUUAGGCGGAAUCACUGGGCUUAAAGCGUGUGUAGGCGGAUCGUUAAGUGCCUUGUGAAAUCCCUCGGCUUAACCGAGGAACUGCCCUCCAAACUGCUUUGCUUGAGGCCGGGAGAGGCGAGUGGAAUUCCCAGUGUAGCAGUGAAAUGCGUAGAUAUUGGGAGGAACACCAGUGGCGAAGGCGGCUCGCUGGACCGGUUCUGACGCUGAGGCGCGAAAGCGUGGGGAGCAAACGGG
rnacentral:rRNA from 1 species